AUUGAACGCUGGCGGCAUGCCUUACACAUGCAAGUCGAACGGUAACAGGUCUUCGGAUGCUGCCGAGUGGCGGACGGGUGCGUAAUACAUCGGAACGUGCCCAGACGUGGGGGUUAACGAGGCGAAAGCUUUGCUAAUACCGCAUACGAUCUAAUGCUGCAAGCAGGGGACCGCAAGGCCUUGUGCGUUUUUAGCGGCCGAUGGCAGAUUAGGUAGUUGGUGGGAUAAAAGCUUACCAAGCCGACGAUCUGUAGCUGGUCUGAGAGGACGACCAGCCACACUGGGACUGAGACAUGGCCCAGACUCCUACGGGAGGCAGCAGUGGGGAAUUUUGGACAAAGGGCGAAAGCCUGAUCCAGCAAUGCCGCGUGCAGGAUGAAGGCCUUCGGGUUGUAAACUGCUUUUGUACGGAACGAAAAGGCUCUGGCUAAUACCUGGGGCACAUGACGGUACCGAAAGAAUAAGCACCGGCUAACUACGUG
rnacentral:rRNA from 1 species